rnacentral:lncRNA from 1 species
CCACUAAACCAGAGUGAGCUACCUGAGCGCUCACCAGGACAGCGAGUGAGUGGGGAGCGUCUCUGUCUGGGGGGGCACUCCAGGGUCCUUGGGAUCUGGGGACUGCCAGGAAAAAACGUCUCAGGGCGCUUUCACUGGAGAAGCCAGCGGACUUCGGGCUGGCUGCGCUGAACAAGGCACGCUGAUUAUCUGGGCGAGAUGAAUACCUGGGCUCGGAGGCUGGGAAGAACUAGUCUGAAGCAACCUAAAUUCACAGAAAAACCACUCUUAUAACCCAGACCCCAGACCAAAAAGGAAAGGGAAAUAAAACUACCAAAGGGAUGGCUCACAUGGCCCAAAAUCAAGCCUCCAGGAAGAAAGGGAAAAAAGUGACUAUUGAAAACUUUUAUGGUGGAAGUACCCAAGGAAAAGAGGAGAAUGAGGAGGAAAUCCAAAAAAAUUCAGAACACGCCUCCCAAAAUGGAAACUAUCAACAAGCUCUGGAAGAUCUCAAACUGGAACUUAUCCAAAAGAUGGAAACCUUCUGGAAAGAAAAAUGGGAGAAAGAGAUCAGCUGUCUGACAGAUAAGACUGCUCAAUUGGAAAAAGAACUCGAAGCAUCCAAUACAAGGGCAGACAAGGCUGAAAAGCAAAUCCAGUCCCUAAUGACCAGAAUCAAGCACCUAGAAGAAAGUGAGAUGAUAAAACAGCAAGAAUCAAUAAAGCAAACCCAAACAAUUAAUGAAUUGGAAGAAAACAUAAAAUAUCUCACUGAGAAGGUCACGGACCUGGAGAACAGAGGAAGACGAGAAAAUCUCCAUAUCAUCGGUCUCCCAGAAAAACCAGAGGUAAACAACAAAUUGGAUUUUAUUCUAGAGGAGAUUAUAAAAGAAAAUUGCCCCCACGUUCUGGAGCAAGGGGGCAAAAUAGAAAUAGAAAGGAUUCAUAGAACACCUUCUAUACUAAAUCCCCAAAAGACAACGCCUAGGAAUGUAAUUGCCAAAUUCAAGAGCUUCCAAGUAAAGGAGAAAAUCCUACAAGAAGCCAAGAAGAAGAGCU